UGUUGAGUACGAUAAAAGAAUCU
rnacentral:snRNA from 1 species